rnacentral:miRNA from 1 species
AUACGACAAAUAGAACAAAUAAAC